rnacentral:rRNA from 1 species
AGGACGAACGCUGGCGGCGUGCCUAACACAUGCAAGUCGAACGGGGUCCAUCCGGUGGCAACACCGGAGAAGACCCAGUGGCGAACGGGUGCGGAACACGUGAGCAACCUGCCCCGAAGAUCGGGAUAACGGCGGGAAACUNCGCUAAUACCGAAUCCGCCCCGACGANCCNGACUGGUUNUGAGGAAAGNGUUCUGCUUCGGGAGGGGCUCGCGGCCUAUCAGCUUGUUGGCAGGGUAAUGGCCUACCAAGGCAACGACGGGUAGCUGGUCUGAGAGGACGACCAGCCACACUGGGACUGAGACACGGCCCAGACUCCUACGGGAGGCAGC